rnacentral:misc_RNA from 1 species
GUCACUCUUCCUUCUCAACGCAGCCAUAGUUCAGCUAUUGCACAUUUGACUGGCUUUGAGGGAAUAUGUUGAAGUUGUUACUUUAACAGUCAAGGAAGGUGCCUUUUCUUCAACAGCAACAAAUCUCACCUUCUCUCAUAAACUCGACUUGCAGCCAAAUUCAUCAAAUUCUGCCAUGUCAUCUUCAGAUCCCGAAACCCCAGAAGGAUUAGAUCAAA